AUCCAGCUCACGAGUCCCAAAUAAGAUGAAACGCGCGUCCUGGAU
rfam:Schistosoma mansoni strain Puerto Rico chromosome W, complete genome